rnacentral:rRNA from 1 species
GACGAACGCGGCGGCGUGCUUAACACAUGCAAGUCGAACGGAAAGAGAUGAAAGAGCUUGCUCUUUUAUUAAUUUCAGUGGCAAACGGGUGAGUAACACGUAAACAACCUGCCUUAAGGAUGGGGAUAACAGACGGAAACGACUGCUAAUACCGAAUACGUUCUAAGCAUCGCAUGGUGCAUAGAAGAAAGGGUGGCCUCUACAAGAAAGCUAUCGCCUUAAGAGGGGUUUGCGACUGAUUAGGUAGUUGGUGAGGUAACGGCUCACCAAGCCGACGAUCAGUAGCCGGUCUGAGAGGAUGAACGGCCACACUGGAACUGAGACACGGUCCAGACUCCUACGGGAGGCAGCAGUGGGGAAUCUUCCGCAAUGGACGAAAGUCUGACGGAGCAACGCCGCGUGAACGAAGAAGGUCUUCGGAUUGUAAAGUUCUGUGAUUCGGGACGAAAGGGUUUGUGGUGAAUAAUCAUAGACAUUGACGGUACCGAAAAAGCAAG